GCGACUUCUUGGCAGAUACUGCAUCUUCAGCCAGGAGAAGUUGGCUUAGUACAAAAGGGCUUUUGAAGUGAUUUUCGAGAUUGUUGACUAUUAUGUAACAGAUGGCCCAACAGACCUCCGACUCUUUUGCGGUGUUGGCCAGCUUGGCUCAGGAAAAUAGCAGCACUGGAGUAAGUAUUCCCAGGCAUGGGACGCUCAUGAAUUUUAACUCCUCCACAACAAAGGAAUUCAAAGACGGUAAGAGCCAAUCUAUCAGGAGCCGAGGCAAUUAAGAGACAUGGGUUGGCAUUCUGCUGAGGAGGACUCCCUUCCUGGGUCUGAAUAUUUAGACUAGAGUAGAUCAGCCUGUCUUCCAUUCAUCUCUGCCCUGCCACAAGGUAUCAAAACAAUGAAAGGACUCAAAAACAGAAGCCAGUGUGUUUUUAGUUUUUAAUUAUAAAAUGUGUGUAUUGUUGUGUAAGAAUUCCAUGGAGGAAGAGACCAAGGAGCCAUAAAGAUGACACCCGAAUCUUGCCAAGGACAAUUCCAGUGACAACCAGGAAGAGGCCACCGUUUCUGUUUCAGAUUUUAUUCCUGAGGCCCUGGUUUUUAGUAGUUUAGCCACCUAGAGGUUGGGCUUAGAGCUCAGAUUGUUUGUACUUUGGAGAUUAUUUCAGGGCAUAAGGAGAGACCUACAGAGCAAUGAGAUGAGGAGAUGGGGUGAUAGUGAUUUGUCUGUAUUUUAACUUAAAAAGUACAGAAAUGGACAAAGAAGAAAAUAGCUAUUUUUCACAGUACCAUCACUAGAAAAUAUUUUGGGCAUAUUUGCCUUUUCUCCUUUUUUUAACCCCAUGUUUACAUUUUAUUUUAACCUGCAAACACUGCAUAUGCAUUGUCUAUAUUUUCUCUUUAAGUAAUGACUACUGCAGAAGCCGCACGGACUCAGCCCCUAAGCCCUCCAGUACCACCUAAUGCCAUCUUCAGCAUUCUCUGGACCUCAAAAGUCAGCUCCCUGGAGGAACGAACCUGGGACAGUGAGACUUGUCUUCAGUUUCAGCCUGAGAUUCUUCUUCCAAUUCAAAGGGCUAUUGUAAGGAUCAAAUGA
rnacentral:lncRNA from 1 species